AUAUUUACCUGGCAAGGGAGAUACCGUGAUCAAGAAGGCUGUUCAACCAGAGCGAGGCUCAGCCAUUGCACUCCGGAUGUGCUGACCCCUGCGAAUUUCCCAAAUGUGGAAAUCUCAAUUGCAGAAUUUCUGGUAGUGGGGGACUGCGUUCGCGCUCUCCCCUG
ensembl:snRNA U1 U1 spliceosomal RNA